CAACUGCACAGAGCAAUGAAAGAGCAUCUGUCAAUCAACAACAAGACACACCCACACCAGACAAAGGAUUGGUGAAAAAUAAGGAUAGCGGUCUGACGAACGGCAGUCGUGUGGCUCAGCUCAGGAAGCACUUCAACACCACUAAUGCCCCAUGUGUCAAACCACCGAUCCCCUGCAAGCCCACUCACCUACUGGCUUCCCCCUCUGUCAGAUAAACACAACACUGCUACACACCUGAAAAAUAUCCUUGUGUAUCCAAAAAUCUGCAAAAUGAACUAAAAACACUAGAAAGACCUGCGCAUACCUGAGCGUAAGAGCAGAUCCAGGUGUGGACACAGCUGGAGACGGAUGUUGUACGGAAAUCAAACACUUCUUAUGACCCAGCUCGAGCCAUCACUCUUCAGGUUUCACACUGUUUACAGAGGAAUAUGGUCUCCAAAGGACUCAAAGACUUGUACUACUCACUUUACACAAUUUUUGUUUUUGUUUUUGUUUUUUUUUUAUAUAAACUUUGUUUCCUUAAGGGGAGAAUGACCAAAGUUAUUGUGUCAUGUUUGUAUAGAUAAUUUUUCGUCUGGUUGUAAAUAACGGUGUCAUAUUGUUUUAAAUAAAACAACUGGUUUUAA